rnacentral:snoRNA from 1 species
GAUGUGAUCGAACCAGCCAGGCCGUCUUAAGCCGUAUGAAUGGACGUUGACACAGCAAUGAAAACAGCGUUAUUUCACGCCCGUCGAUCGAUC